rnacentral:rRNA from 1 species
GACGAACGCUGGCGGCGUGCUUAACACAUGCAAGUCGAACGGAAAGGCCCUGCUUUUGUGGGGUGCUCGAGUGGCGAACGGGUGAGUAACACGUGAGUAACCUGCCCUUGACUUUGGGAUAACUUCAGGAAACUGGGGCUAAUACCGGAUAGGAGCUCCUGCUGCAUGGUGGGGGUUGGAAAGUUUCGGCGGUUGGGGAUGGACUCGCGGCUUAUCAGCUUGUUGGUUGGGUAGUGGCUUACCAAGGCUUUGACGGGUAGCCGGCCUGAGAGGGUGACCGGCCACAUUGGGACUGAGAUACGGCCCAGACUCCUACGGGAGGCAGCAGUGGGGAAUAUUGCACAGUGGGCGGAAGCCUGAUGCAGCAACGCCGCGUGCGGGAUGACGGCCUUCGGGUUGUAAACCGCUUUCGCCUGUGACGAAGCGUGAGUGACGGUAAUGGGUAAAGAAGCACCGGCUAACUACGUG